rnacentral:lncRNA from 1 species
GAGAGAGCUAGCGGUCCUUACCUGCGGCGUACGGACUGCUCUGGUGGUCCCUGAGGGUGCCCAGGCUGCAGGAUCCCGGCGUGAGGGACGGGCAACCGGACGUGGCCCCAAAAGUGGUCCUUAUCGGGUUAUACUGGAAGCCACUGGCCUGGCUGCAGGAACUGAAGUCUGCAUAUGCUGAAGCCAAGCUGGAGGUAUCCAUCCCGGCCAUACAGGACUCGUAGGCAGAGGAAUUGAGCACCUCCCAAGACUACAUGUGACUGGAGCAGAUUUACAAACAGCAGGGAGAGAGCUGCAGGUGGUGCUGGAAUCUCAGACAUAGCUCAUUGCCAAGGACCUCAAGAAGUCAUUGAAUCCAUCCCUCUGCCUCCAGGCCUGCUUGCUCCUCCAAUCAAUUCUUGAUAAAGAAGAGAGAAUAAGGCGGGACUUCCACCAGCCAGAGGAAGGAGAAAGAUUGAAGUUUGAGCCACAGAGGAAGGUGUCUGGAAAGGGAUCAUGGAAACCCACCUGAAGCCCAAAAAGCGAGAUGAAUAAUAAAAUUCAAAUCCAAGUAUCAUGAGGGAAGUUGGUCGAGAGGUAGCCAAUUAGCUUAGGGAAAUUAUUAUAAGUAGUUUGACUGUCCAGAUACCGAGGUGAAGGCUUAAAACAAAACUUUUGUCUUUCUUUGUUAUUAUUUGGAACUAGCUAGGAUAAAGACAUACAACCACUGUAUUAAUUUACUACUUAAAUGUAUAUUAAAAGUUAUAUUUACAAAAAAUAAUAAAUUAAGAAUAUAAUAAAGCAAGGCAGAUCUCAGAUGAGUAAAACAGAAUGCUACUACUGUAUUCCAUUGCGGUAAAGGGAAUCAUGGGAGUGUGAGCAUCGCCACGGGAGGCUGGCAAUGGUGGUCUCUUGUUAGAACUGUGAGCGACAUUUUCUUCCUUGUACUUUUCUGAGAUUUCCAAGGAUUCUCUGUAAACAUGUUAUGUUUUAUAACUGGGAAAAACAUGCAUUAAUCUUCCCCUCUCUUAUUCAGUUUCAAUAAAAAGAUACUACUUUGGUUUGUUCAUA